UGGGGAAUAUUGGACAAUGGGCGAAAGCCUGAUCCAGCCAUGCCGCGUGAGUGAUGAAGGCCCUAGGGUUGUAAAGCUCUUUUGUGCGGGAAGAUAAUGACGGUACCGCAAGAAUAAGCCCCGGCUAACUUCGUGCCAGCAGCCGCGGUAAUACGAAGGGGGCUAGCGUUGCUCGGAAUCACUGGGCGUAAAGGGUGCGUAGGCGGGUUUCUAAGUCAAAGGUGAAAGCCUGGAGCUCAACUCCAGAACUGCCUUUGAUACUGGAAGUCUUGAGUUCGGGAGAGGUGAGUGGAACUGCGAGUGUAGAGGUGAAAUUCGUAGAUAUUCGCAAGAACACCAGUGGCGAAGGCGGCUCACUGGCCCGAUACUGACGCUGAGGCACGAAAGCGUGGGGAGCAAACA
rnacentral:rRNA from 1 species